CGCCUACGAGCUGGACUUACCAUCCGAUUUGGAGGCCGUACACCCGGUAUUUCAUGUGUCUAUGCUGCGGAAGUGUAUUGGUGAUCCUUCCAGGAUAUUCCCAGUGGAUGACCUUCAGGUAACGGAGCAGUUGGCCUAUGACGAGCAGCCUGUGUCUAUUCUGGACCGACAGGUAAGGAGAUUGCGCACUAAGGAGGUGCCUUCUGUCAAAGUUCUGUGGCGCAACAGUAAUCGGGAAGAGAUGACUUGGGAGGCGGAGGACGAGAUGAAGAAGAGAUACCCCCACUUGUUCCCGACGUCCACAGUUAUACCAAGCGCAAGACGCUCUUCGACGUGAUACAAUUUGUUUGGCACAAGAAUCACGUUUGCGGCAAGUCGGAUUUUCAAGAAAAGAUUCCGGACGAAACGGGAUUUGAUUUUAGGGAGAGCAUAAGACGUCUAUAAGGUACAGACAUUGGUGAUCCUCCACUGUAGGCUUCACUUUUCUGCUAUUUCGGAGUACUCCUCCUUGAUCCGGAGUCCACUUCUGGUACAGACAUCUUUUGCUAUGUAUAUUUUGUACAUCUGACUAUUGGGUACGGCGGGGCCCUGUCUCGCCAUAUGUCUUUGUUUUGGAUUCGUAGAGGCCUGUAGUCAUGUGUGUGGGGCGAGGGUCCUAUAUAUGUUUGUUCGAUUUUGUUUUCUGGUCUUAAAGCGGUCCGUUUGUUAUGAUGGCCCUAAAUGGCCCUUAUGCUUAUAUUUGCACUUG